GGAAGUCGUCUGGACUUCUUGGAAGUCUUCUGACAAAGUCGUCUGGACUUCCAGGAAGUCGUCUGGACUUCCAGGAAGUCGUCUGGACUUCUAGGAAGUCGUCUGGACUUCUAGGAAGUCGUUUGGACUUCUAAGAAGUCGUCUGGAUUUUUCUGAGCGUUUUGGUAAGUUCUUAUGUCUGAUUUUUCUUCAUUUGAUAACUUCUUGUUGUAUAAAGUUCUUACUUUUUUCCCAAACUAAAACUCUCCAAACCCACUCUAAUCUCUUUGACUUGAAA
rnacentral:lncRNA from 1 species